AGUCACGAGUUUGAUCCUGGCUCAGACGAACGCUGGCGGCAUGCCUAACACAUGCAAGUCGAACGAGACCUUCGGGUCUAGUGGCGCACGGGUGCGUAACGCGUGGGAACCUGCCUUAGGUUCGGAAUAACUCAGAGAAAUUUGAGCUAAUACCGGAUAAUGUCUUCGGACCAAAGAUUUAUCGCCUUUAGAUGGGCCCGCGUUGGAUUAGCUAGUUGGUGGGGUAAAGGCCUACCAAGGCGACGAUCCAUAGCUGGUCUGAGAGGAUGAUCAGCCACACUGGGACUGAGACACGGCCCAGACUCCUACGGGAGGCAGCAGUGGGGAAUAUUGGACAAUGGGCGAAAGCCUGAUCCAGCAAUGCCGCGUGAGUGAUGAAGGCCUUAGGGUUGUAAAGCUCUUUUACCCGAGAUGAUAAUGACAGUAUCGGGAGAAUAAGCUCCGGCUAACUCCGUG
rnacentral:rRNA from 1 species